rnacentral:lncRNA from 1 species
UCCUCAAGUGCACAACUAUAACAUAAAGGACACGACAAUAGUAUAUCAAUGGUACAUUACAAUCCUCAUAAUAGUUUAUAACGAUGACAUGCAAAUAAAGUAGAGUAGUGGCAAGGCAUUAUUAAUAAUAACAUUCUAAUUAGCAUGGCAAAGGUAUCAUGAAACACAAGCAUGCAAGAUAGGCAUAAAGGAAUAACUACCGAUGAAAACGAUAUAAAACAACUGCAACUACACACACACUCAAGGUGCAAGCAAAGUCAACAUGCAAGUUCGGGGCUCAUGAUAAGAGGUUGGCUUGCCUGGGGGCGACAAAUACUCCGGGAAGAAGUGCGAAAUGAUCGCGAAAAGAUUUGCCGGAAACAGUUCCUUCUCGGAGGGGGCUGUUUACGGGCAAGGGCAAAAAGGUCAUUUUCAAUGUUUGAAAAUAUUAUGGAAAUGAUAUCAACGGAACGGGCUCGACGAAACGAAGAUGUGGGCUUUGGAAUCACCUGAUUCGGAGCUACGGGUAAAAAGAUAUGAUUGUUUAAUUACCACGGACCUAUUUGUAAAGAAAAUCAUUACAAACUGGCCCCUGGCAGAAAAACAGAUCGCGUCUUUCUCAGGAAUACGCUUUCCAGAGAGGAAAGCGCAUUCUGGCCCGAAGAAGAGGAGGAAUACGCUUUCGGCGACUGAAAGCGCACUUCCCGAAAUACGCUUUCGCGUACGGAAAACAGUUUCUCGGCGGGGCGCCGCCACUUAUCCGAC